rnacentral:tRNA from 2 species
GGGGGUUUUCCCGAGUGGUCAAAGGGGGCAGACUGUAAAUCUGUUAGCAUCGCUUUCGGAGGUUCGAAUCCUUCAACCCCCA